UACAGAGGGUGCAAGCGUUAAUCGGAAUUACUGGGCGUAAAGCGUGCGCAGGCGGUGAUGUAAGACCGAUGUGAAAUCCCCGGGCUUAACCUGGGAACUGCAUUGGUGACUGCAUUGCUGGAGUAUGGCAGAGGGGGGUGGAAUUCCACGUGUAGCAGUGAAAUGCGUAGAGAUGUGGAGGAACACCGAUGGCGAAGGCAGCCCCCUGGGCCAAUACUGACGCUCAUGCACGAAAGCGUGGGGAGCAAACAGG
rnacentral:rRNA from 1 species